GACGAACGCUGGCGGCGUGCUUAACACAUGCAAGUCGAACGGAAAGGCCCUGCUUUUGUGGGGUGCUCGAGUGGCGAACGGGUGAGUAACACGUGAGUAACCUGCCCUUUACUUUGGGAUAACUUCAGGAAACUGGGGCUAAUACCGGAUAGGAGCUCCUGCUGCAUGGUGGUGGUUGGAAAGUUUCGGCGGUUGGGGAUGGACUCGCGGCUUAUCAGCUUGUUGGUGGGGUAGUGGCUUACCAAGGCUUUGACGGGUAGCCGGCCUGAGAGGGUGACCGGCCACAUUGGGACUGAGAUACGGCCCAGAGUGCUACGGGAGGCAGCAGUGGGGAAUAUUGCACAAUGGGCGGAAGCCUGAUGCAGCAACGCCGCGUGCGGGAUGACGGCCUUCGGGUUGUAAACCGCUUUAGCCUGUGACGAAGCGUGAGUGACGGUAAUGGGUAAAGAAGCACCGGCUAACUACGUG
rnacentral:rRNA from 1 species